rnacentral:snoRNA from 1 species
AGCCUUAGGUCCCUGACCCAUCCGACCUGAACCCUGCUCUAAGUGGUCACAAAAAGAGGAAAUAAAAUUGAAACUGCCUUAAAUUAUUUUUCAACACACAAGCUAGUUUCAAGCAAAC